CACUCUCCCCUUUCUCCCGCCCGUGCGCAGCAGGGUGGCUCGCCGGCGCCAGCGGGCCCCGCGCGCCGCGGCAGGCGCAUGCGCCCUCCUUUUCGCGCCUUCGGUGGCGGCCACGGCCAGCGGCGAGGCCGGGGCUGAGGCCGGCGGGGGCGGACGGUUGAGGGGGCGGGCUGGGCUGGGCCCCGCCCCGCUCCGCGGCCGGCAGCUCUGCCCGCGCAGGGGCGGGAAGCGGCACCUCCCUCCCUCCCUUCUUUCCCGCCGGUGGGCUGGGCACGUGUCCUGCGCGGCGCUGCUCGGUCGAGGCCUGAGGGGGCUGAGCCCGGGGGGCUGCAAAGGCCGUCGGGGGGGGGGGUUGACUCGGUGCCCGCGUUUACCGUCAGUCCUCGGUGUACCCCGCCCCCUCCGGCUGUGCCCUGAGGGCUGGGGGAGCCUCGCUGAGGGUGGGGGCGGGGCGGUCUCCCCGGGGUGCGAUCCGGCUUCUCCGGCCGUGUCCGCGGGAGGCAGGGCCGCGGUCGGUACGGCCUGGCCUUGAGCGCCGGGCUUGCGCGGCUACUCGAAAAUGGGACGUGGAAAGACGGUUUUGUGUAAAAUGUAUUAUCUAUCAAAAGCAGUACACGGAGGAGUUUGCAUUUGCAUUUGAAUCCUUGCUGUUCGUUUUUUAGAGUGUGGAGGGGUGGUGUUUUCGAAGAUGCAGAGGUAAAAAGCAUGUAGUUUUUGUUAAGGUAAAAUAUGAGAUUCCUGGGAAACCACACAAUUCCGGGAAUUAGACUUUAAGGAAGAAACAGAAUAAUUCAUGAGGUGGUCUGGUCCACAGCUAUGUACAUCACAUUAGCUGGGACACUUGGAACUAAACUUUGCUUCAUUUUUUAGGACUAAGCCUCCCUUUGUCUCUCCCUGCAGCUGCUUUUUUUCCAUCCUUUCAUCUUUUUUAUCUCUCCAUCAUAAACAAAAUCCUAAAUAUAGCAUGAUAGAACUGCAGUCCUACGUUGUCUCAUGGAUAGCCACAAGGAUAUAUGGACACCUGAGAAAGGACACUGGAUCAAGUGCCUCGCCUUAAAAGCUUUCUUCAGCUGCUUUUCUCCCAUUUCUUGAAAACGUCACAAGCGUUCACAGUAUGAUUUUAUAAUGUACGCAUGCAAUAAUUCAAAAUAUAAUAAGCACGUAAUAAUUCAAACA